CUCUCCUUCUCUCCAUUUAGCUUUCAUAGAUUCCCUUUCUUUCUCUCUGCUCUUUCAGACAGUCUCUCUCAUCGCUGUCUGUAUGUUCAUAUUCUACCAUUCCAUGGUCUUUGCCGAUACUAUUCUCUGUAUCUCUUGUUUAAUAGAUUCUGGGUUUGAGAACACAAGACUAUAUUCUUGAAACGGUCCUUUUCCAUUGUUCUUGUUCUCUGAGUUCCGUUAAUUAUUCUGCUCGAAGAAAAUGACCGUUGAGCCUGAAAUGGACGACCCCAGAGAUCAUUUUCCCAUUGGAAUGCGUGUGCUCGCAGUUGACGAUGACCCAACUUGCCUCUUUUUCUUGGAGACCCUGCUUCGUAGAUGCCAAUAUCACGUUACGACAACUAAUCAAGCUGUCACAGCAUUGAAGUUGUUGAGAGAAAACAAGAACAAGUUUGACCUCGUUAUCAGUGAUGUGCAUAUGCCAGACAUGGAUGGUUUUAAGUUGCUUGAGCUUGUGGGCCUUGAGAUGGACCUACCUGUCAUAAUGUUGUCUGCAAAUGGUGAUACCAAGCUUGUGAUGAAGGGAAUUACCCAUGGAGCUUGUGAUUAUUUACUGAAACCUGUUCGAAUUGAGGAGCUGAAGAACAUCUGGCAACAUGUUAUCAGGAGAAAGAAGUUUGAUUCAAAAGACUCGAAUCAUUCUGGCAAUCAAGACAACCCUCAUUCUGGGAGUGGCGAAGGAGGAAUUGGGUCAGCCGGGACACUUUCAGAUCAAAAUGGGAAGCUCAAUAAAAGACGAAAGGAUCAGAAUGAAGAUGAGGAGGAGGAGCAUGAUGAAGAUGGGCAUGAUGACUCAUCAACUCAGAAGAAGCCUCGGGUUGUUUGGUCUGUGGAGCUGCAUCGCAAGUUUGUUGCCGCUGUUCAUCAGAUGGGCAUUGACAAGGCUGUUCCUAAAAAGAUUCUAGAUUUGAUGAAUGUUGAAAAGCUUACAAGAGAAAACGUAGCAAGCCAUCUUCAGAAAUACAGGCUUUACCUUAAAAGACUCAACAGUAUUGUAAACCAGCAAGCUAAUAUGGCGGCUGCCUUAGGCAGUACAGAUGCUUCCUAUUUGCGAAUGGGUUCUCUGAGUGGACUCGAAAAUUUCCAUACCUUGAAUGGAUCUGGGCAGUUUCAUAACAGUGCUUUCAGGUCCUUCCCAUCUAGUGGGAUGCUUGGUAGGUUGAACACACCUGCUGGUCUUGGUAUGCGUGGCCUUCCUUCUUCAGGAGUGACUCAAUUGGGUCAUGCACAGAACUCAAGCAGCUCUACUGUUGAUCAGGUUAACUUCCAGCAGGUCAUGCUUCCUGGAAGCCAUAAUGGGAGUGUACUUCAAGGAAUGCCGACGGCACUAGAACUUGAUCCACUUCAACAUAUUAAAGGUGUUACCCAUGCCAGAGAGCUCUCCACUGCUAUUGAUAAUAGAACAGUUUUCCCCAUUUCCAGUGGCUUCCCAGAUGCAAAAAUAACCAUUGGCAGCUCAAGCAAUUCUCUUCUUGGUGUUACAAACAACACCUUGAUGUUAGAACAAAACCGUCAAGGAGCUCAAGGUGGCAAAGUAUUUGGAAAUCAGUCCUCUGUUUCAGUGGCCUCUUUAAAUUCAGAAUUUCCUUCCCCCUUGAUGGAUCACAAUAGACUGAAUGAUAACUGGUCAACUGCUGCUCAGUCAUCUGGGAUCCAUUCAAAUUCUUUUCCAUUAAAUGACUGUUUUAAACAGCCUAUUCUGCAUCAUAAUAACUUGAGGGACAAUAUGUCUACAAUGGCCUUGCGAAUUGGGAGUAAUCGUUGUGAUGUUUCUUCUGUUACUUCAAUGCCCCCUCAAUUGCAGGAUAUUAGAGCAGACAUGCAAUGCCAAGCGAGCCUGAUUAGCAGUAAUGCCGAGCAAAUAAGUAAUCAUGCCCCACCACAAGGGUGGGAUGACCAUAAUCAGGAUGGUUCUUAUCGCUUAAAUGUUAUGUGUAGCUCAAUAAACUCUAUGAUCCCCGUGAAUAGUGCUGUGGGUCCAACGGGUCAGGGUUUGGAACCAAAGAACACAAUCUUCCUAGCCAACAUGGAUUUCAAUUCAAUUGGACAAUCAAAUUUUAAUGAUCCUUUAUACAUGAAGUACGAUCUGGUUAAUAAAUCUGCAGCAGAGGCAUCACUGAAGUUGAAGCAAGGGCUCCUCAUGGACCAAAGGAAGCCACAAGGAAAUCAUAUUUCUAGUAAUUUUGGCUCGUUGGAAGACAUAGUGAGUGCGAUGGUGAAACAGGAAAAUAUAGAAUGGACUGCUGGACUGGAUAGAUGACUGUCUCAUCCAAGAACUUGCCCACUUGCUGAAGGGUUACUCAAGCAUUUGGUGAGAGGGAAGACCUAUUUGCUAAUUUGGAUAGCAAUAAAUAUGAACAAGAUAAGGUGAAACUAAUUGAAGGAGACUUAGGGUGCGACAGUUAUUCCCUUGGGACAUGCAUCUGAAACAAUGACUCCUAGCAACAGAAGGAAUUGCACUAAAAAUGUUUUCCUUGAUGAGUAUUUCAUUGUUAUUAAAGCAGAUAUCUGUCAACGUAUCCACUUUUGCCUCUUAGUUGUAUAAUACUUGAAAAGAUUAGCUUCAGUCGUAUUUAAUUAGCUUCAGUGUAGUCAAUUUUCUUGUUGAUUGAGCAAUGUGAAUAUGUGAUUUAUGAAUAAGGCCAUAAGUGCUUCUUUAUUUGUAUUACGAAAAUGCCUCGUUGCCCUU